rnacentral:pre_miRNA from 1 species
GAUCCCACGAAAGUCCCGCUUCUAGUUCAUUUUUCAAAUCUUCUAUUCAAAAUUUUGUUCAGAAUUUGAAUAGGAGAUUUGAGAAUUGAACUAGAAACGGAACUAGUCGCGA